AGGGUUCGAUUCUGGCUCAGAACGUACGCUGGCGGCACGCCUAACACAUGCAAGUCGAACGAAGUAGCAAUACUUAGUGGCAGACGGGUGAGUAACAUGUAGGUAUCUGCCCUUUGGCCUGGAAUAACACGAGGAAACUUGUGCUAAUACCGGAUAAGUCUUUACGGAGAAAGCUUUAUGCACCAUUGGAUGAGCCUGCACUUGAUUAGUUUGUUGGUGGGGUAAUGGCCUACCAAGACUGUGAUCAAUAGCUGAUUUGAGAGGAUGAUCAGCCACAUUGGGACUGAGACACGGCCCAAACUCCUACGGGAGGCAGCAGUGGGGAAUCUUGCACAAUGGAGGAAACUCUGAUGCAGCGAUGCCGCGUGAGUGAAGAAGGCCUUUGGGUUGUAAAGCUCUUUCGUCGGGGAAGAAAAUGACUGUACCCGAAUAAGAAGGUCCGGCUAACUUCGUGCCAGCAGCCGCGGUAAUACGAAGGGACCUAGCGUAGUUCGGAAUUACUGGGCUUAAAGAGUUCGUAGGUGGUUGAAAAAGUUGGUGGUGAAAUCCCAGAGCUUAACUCUGGAACUGCCAUCAAAACUUUUCAGCUAGAGUGUGAUAGAGGAAAGCAGAAUUUCUAGUGUAGAGGUGAAAUUCGUAGAUAUUAGAAAGAAUACCAAUUGCGAAGGCAGCUUUCUGGAUCAUUACUGACACUGAGGAACGAAAGCAUGGGUAGCGAAGAGGAUUAGAUACCCUCGUAGUCCAUGCCGUAAACGAUGUGUGUUAGACGUUGGAAAUUUAUUUUCAGUGUCGCAGCGAAAGCGAUAAACACACCGCCUGGGGAGUACGACCGCAAGGUUAAAACUCAAAUGAAUUGACGGGGACCCGCACAAGUAGUGGAGCAUGUGGUUUAAUUCGAAGAUACGCGCAGAACCUUACCAACACUUGACAUGUUCGUCGCGACUUUAAGAGAUUAAAGUUUUCGGUUCGGCCGGACGAAACACAGGUGCUGCAUGGCUGUCGUCAGCUCGUGUCGUGAGAUGUUGGGUUAAGUCCCGCAACGAGCGCAACCCUCACUUUUAGUUGCCAUCAUUAAGUUGGGCACUCUGAAAGAACUGCCAGUGAUAAGCUGGAGGAAGGUGGGGAUGACGUCAAGUCCUCAUGGCCCUUACGUGUUGGGCUACACACGUGCUACAAUGGUAUCUACAACAGGAAGCAAGACUGCGAAGUUAAGCAAAUCCUUAAAAGAUACCUCAGUUCGGAUUGCACUCUGCAACUCGAGUGCAUGAAGCUGGAAUUACUAGUAAUCGUGGAUCAGCGUGCCACGGUGAAUGCGUUCCCGGGUCUUGUACACACCGCCCGUCACACCAUGGGAGUUGGUUCUACCUUAAGGCAAGGUUUAAAACCCUUGACCACGGUAUAGUCAGCGACUGGGGUGAAGUCGUAACAAGGUAACC
rnacentral:rRNA from 1 species